AGUCGAACGGCAGCGCGGGGGCGCUUGCGUCCCUGGCGGCGAGUGGCGGACGGGNGAGUAACGCAUGGGAACGCGCCCNAUUGUGGGGGAUAACCCUGGGAAACCAGGGCUAAUACCGCAUAAUCUCUACNGAGCNAAGCGGGGGACCUUUUCNGAGGCCUCGCGCGAUCGGAGCGGCCCAUGUCCGACUAGCUAGUUGACGAGGUAACGGCUCGCCAAGGCUACNAUCGGUNGCUGGUCUGANAGGAUGACCAGCCACNCCGGGACUGAGACACGGCCCGGACUCCUACGGGAGGCANCAGUGGGGAAUCUUGGACAAUGGGGGCAACCCUGAUCCAGCGAUGCCGCGUGAGUGAAGAAGGCCUUCGGGUUGUAAAGCUCUUUCNCGAGGGAAGAAACGGCGGCGGCGAACAGCCAGCCGCAACUGACGGUACCUCGACNAGAANCGCCGGCUAACUACGUGCCANCAGCCGCGGUAAGACGUANGGCGCGAGCGUUAAUCNNAAUUACUGGGCGUAAAGAGUGCGUANGCGGCUGGNCAAGUCAGACGGGAAAGCCCCGGGCUCAACCCGGGAAGGUCGUUUGAAACUGGUCAGCUGGAGUUCGGNAGANGAAGGUAGAAUUCCGCAUGUANCGGUGAUAUGCGUANAUAUGCGGAGGAAUACUUAGGGCGAAGGCAUCCUUCUGGGCCA
rnacentral:rRNA from 1 species